rnacentral:rRNA from 1 species
AACGUAGGUGGCGAGCGUUAUCCGGAAUUACUGGGCGUAAAGCGUGUGCAGGCGGGCAACCAAGUGGUGUAUGAAAUCUCCCGGCUCAACCGGGAAGGGUUAUGCCAGACUGGUUGUCUUGAGUGCGAGAGAGGAAUGUGGAAUUCCGGGUGUAGUGGUGAAAUGCGUAGAGAUCCGGAGGAACCCCAGAGGCGAAGGCGGCAUCCUGGACCGACAUUGACGCUGAUGAGCGAAAGCUAGGGGAGCAAACGGG